GCUUUUCAAGAAGGGACGACUGAGAUGGGACCUCAUCAAUGUCUAUGAGUUUCUGAAUGGAGGGUGGCAAGAGGACAGAGCCAGGUUCAGAGCAUCCAAGCAGAUGAAAAUAUCACUGUCACAGGUGGUGCCAAAGUCCUUUCUGGAGGGACCUGGGGCCAGCUUGUCUGCAAGCAGCCAGUGAUGAUGAUGCAGGGCUAAGGCUAACUGUGCAGCUCACAUGGGAGUUAACCAGCCACUGCAUGAACAUGUGCUUAGGUCUACAUUCAACCUUAGUGAGGGGCCCAAGGUUUUUUUCUUCCUGCCGUGUCCAGUCCAGGUCCACAUCUAAACAUCUGAUCAGCUGAGCAUUGCUGCAGGAGUUCUUGGCUCCAGUUUAGGGAAAAGGUUCAAGUUCCUUGCAUCUUUAAAGCAAUAUCCAAGGAGCAGUACUUGGACACAAAGAGGGUGGACGCCAAAUGUCCAUGUUCAGGAGGUCCCAGAGCCUUUACACUUUUGUGAAUAUAGAACAAC